AUGCCCCACAUAGGCUUUGUGGGGGAACUUGAAUUCUCAGGGUUACAAUCUCUUCACCAUUACAAUAAGCUCAGCAAAGGGCUUCAACAAAUCCUCACCACUUUUCCUUUUUUUUCAGCUCACUGCUCUGCAUUUCCAUUCCUUCCCGACCAAGCUGGGAAGCUUUCCACCCAAACGACACCUUCCCAAUUUCACCCUGUUCCCACGACAGCUCAGGGCAGUGGCCAAGUGCAGGGAAAUUCCAAGGAUGCUCCGAGGCGUAUCUCAGGGGAGGAGCUUGGAAGAAAAUAUCAGCGAGCUCCUGUUUUGACAGGCUGCCCUCGAGAUAACGUGCCUGGACCACUUGGAUCACGGAUGGAGCCAGGGUGUUAAAGCCACAGGUAUGAAGAAGCCAAAUUAGCUCAUUACUUCAUUAAAUUAAGGCAGGGGGGAACGCUGGGACCCAAAUGGGGAUGUGUCACAGCCUUUUACUUGUCCCUGUUGGUCAUCCACCCAGCAGCUGCCACCUCUCCCACCGACAGCAGACUCCGUGCAGGAUGGUCUGAUGCCUGGUUAUUGACAGCAGUAGUUGCUCAAAAAAAGGCCAAUAAUAGUAGUGUAAAGGGAAAAAAGGGUGCGACCAAGCUGGUUUUGUGGGUUUGGUUGUUUUUUUUUGCUUGUUUUGUGUGCUGUUGUUGUUUGGCACAGACCCUUCCUUCUCACCUGGCCAUGGAGCCAGGGAAGAGGCAUUGGUGGUGCUCAUUCUGCUGGCACAGGAACAACUGAGAUACUUCAGUGUCUGCUCUAGGUGUUCUGGUACAAUGAGCCACACAGAUCACAACAUUUCAGCUUUCUAUGGGUUCGUUCAGCUCUGUCCCUCGUCACUUAUGAAGCGCAUUCGGGAGCUUGAUCCUCAGGCUGGCAGGGGGAGAGAUGGGGAGGGUGCGGAGCAGCUUUUGCUGGAUCACUUUCACCCAGGCGGAUGUCUGCAGCUUUCCAAGGACGCUCUGCAUCUCAUGGCUUCGCCGAAGCAUGAAGUCAAGCAGCUUGGCAGCAGCCAAGCAAUCAGCCACUCCUGUCUGCCUCCAAUUUUUCCCAAAUUCUUUGUUCCGGGCAGAUCCACUGAACUCAAAGCAGAAGAUCCUACCCAGGGUGCAUGCUGAAGGCGAGGAUGCAAAAGAGAUUUUUCCUAAAUGGCACGAAAUAAGUUCCCUUGGCUGCAUUGCAGUUGUUUCCCCGACUCAUCCAUCCAUUUCCUUGUACACCGUUUGUACAGAAGGAAAGCUACUUUGUUAGCUAGGAUUUUGUCCUGGUUCUGUACCACAUUCUGGGGCAAGCCAGAGAUCAAAUUUCCGGACCACAAAUAAAUCACAUCUUUUAAUAUUUUGCCCUGUUAGG
rnacentral:lncRNA from 1 species